AUACGUAGGGGGCGAGCGUUGUCCGGAAUGAUUGGGCGUAAAGGGCGCGUAGGCGGCGCGGUAAGUCUGGAGUGAAAGUCCUGCUUUCAAGGUGGGAAUUGCUUUGGAUACUGCCGCGCUUGAGUGCAGGAGAGGUUAUCGGAAUUCCCGGUGUAGCGGUGAAAUGCGUAGAGAUCGGGAGGAACACCAGUGGCGAAGGCGGGUAACUGGACUGCAACUGACGCUGAGGCGCGAAAGUGUGGGGAGCAAACAGGAUUAGAUACCCUGGUAGUCCACACUGUAAACGAUGAAUGCUAGGUGUAAGAGGUAUCGACCCCUUUUGUGCCGGAGUCAACACAACAAGCAUUCCGCCUGGGGAGUACGGCCGCAAGGUUGAAACUCAAAUGAAUUGACGGGG
rnacentral:rRNA from 1 species